rnacentral:rRNA from 1 species
UACGGAGGGUGCAAGCGUUAAUCGGAAUUACUGGGCGUAAAGCGUGCGUAGGCGGCGUGUUAAAUCAGAUGUGAAAGCCCCGGGCUUAACCUGGGAACUGCAUUUGAAACUGGCGCGCUAGAGUUGAGUAGAGGUAAGUGGAAUUUCAGGUGUAGCGGUGAAAUGCGUAGAUAUCUGAAGGAACACCAGUGGCGAAGGCGACUUACUGGACUCAAACUGACGCUGAGGUACGAAAGCGUGGGUAGCAAACAGG